UACGUAGGGGGCAAGCGUUGUCCGGAAUCAUUGGGCGUAAAGAGCGUGUAGGCGGCCAGAAAAGUCCGCUGUGAAAACUCGAGGCUCAACUUCGAGCUGUCGGUGGAAACUUUCUGGCUAGAGUCCGGAAGAGGAGAAUGGAAUUCCUGGUGUAGCGGUGAAAUGCGCAGAUAUCAGGAAGAACACCCGUGGCGAAGGCGGUUCUCUGGGCCGCAACUGACGCUGAGGAGCGAAAGCAUGGGGAGCGAACAGG
rnacentral:rRNA from 1 species